AAAACAUGACUUUGAUCUGCGUCCUCAUCUGGACUCUCCUCUGCUGCUGCUUCACAGAGUCCAGAGGACAGAUCACAGUGACUCAGCCUGGAGCAGUGAGCUCUGCUGUGGGAGGAUCUGUGAGCAUCAAGUGUAGGACCAGUCAGGAUAAUGUUUUUGUUUGGAACAGCUACCAUCUUUUAGCCUGGUACCAACAGAGAGAUGGAAGCCCCCUCAAACUUCUCAUUUACUAUGCUAGCACUCGACAAUCAGGGAUUCCAGCUCGUUUUACAGGCAGUGGAUCAAACUCUGACUUCACUCUGACCAUCAGUGGAGUCCAGGCUGAAGAUGCAGCAGUUUAUUACUGUCAGAGCAGACAUGAUGUUAACAGCCAAGCUGUGUUCACACAGAGAAAAACACUUUCUUCUGUGGUCUUUUAG